rnacentral:rRNA from 1 species
AGGCCGAAAGGCGUAGUCGAUGGGAAACAGGUUAAUAUUCCUGUACUUGGUGUUACUGCGAAGGGGGGACGGAGAAGGCUAUGUUAGCCGGGCGACGGUUGUCCCGGUUUAAGCAUGUAGGCUGAUUAUCCAGGCAAAUCCGGAUAAUCAAGGCUGAGGUGUGAUGACGAGGCACUACGGUGCUGAAGUAACAAAUGCCCUGCUUCCAGGAAAAGCCUCUAAGCAUCAGGUAACAUCAAAUCGUACCCCUAA